rnacentral:rRNA from 1 species
CCCUUAGAUGUUCUGGGCCGCACGCGUGCUACACUGAGUGGAUCAGCGGGUCAGGUUGCGCGAAAGCGUUUCCUAAUCUUUAAAUCCGCUCGUGAUGGGGAUUGACGGUUGCAAUUUUCUGUCAUGAACGAGGAAUACCUUGUAAGCGCGGGUCAUCAUCCCGCGCUGAAUACGUCCCUGCCCUUUGUACACACCGCCCGUCGCUCCUACCGAUUGAGUGGUCCGGUGAGGCUUUGGGAUCUGAGCGGAAAGAGCGUUUCGCUGUUUCUGCUCGGAAAACUCAGUCGAACCUUAUCAUUUAGAGGAAGGAGAUGUCGUAACA